UAGUUGUUUUAAUAAAACUAAAGGAAAUAGUUCUUUUUAUAUAAAAACAUAAAUGCUGUAACCAGAACAUAUGUGAAGGAAAGGCAAAAUCCUUUAGACAUGCACCAGAACUACAAGUUCAGAUUUGUUUUAAUAGCAAUUAUACGUGACAAUAAGAUGAAACAGUUAAGUGAGAAAUACAGUUAUUUGAAAGUUAAAGAUGAUGCAGUAAAGUGCUUUGGGAAAGAAUGGUUUGGUCUGUCUUUAUAAAUUGCAAAUUUAAAUGUGUUUGUUUACAAGCCCUACAAAUGAUUACAGGGCCAUUGAAUUGGUUGUACUAAACACACCAUUAACCCAGCUGAUCAUGCAACAGCCAGCCUGGGAGAAAUUCUGCAUUGGCACAGCCUCUUGAUAAUUAAUGACUCCAGGUGGUCAGGGAAUAAUAGGAUGUAUGUGACUGCUACUACCCCAGGAUGUCAAAAUGUGGGUUUUUUUGUGGUGAUAUAUUGCUUAUUGACUGCUUAUUGAAUGUGAUCAUAUAUAUGUGAUCAUAUUAGAAAAGUCAAAGUGGUUUUUUUUAAAAAAGGCAUCUGCUUUUUUCCUAAAAAAUAUUUGAGUAUUAGAGCCCAUGUAAGUUAUGGUGGCUUAAAAUUUCAUUCCAGGCAAUUUAAACCAAAUUGCAGUUGUAGAAAGGAACUAAGUUUUAGCCCAAAAUAGCCUAUGAUCUAAUAGAAAGUAAUUCUAAGUUACAGCUCAUCCUGCAUUUUUCAUCACCACCACCACCUUCCAUCUGUGCAUUACUUGUGUUGUUAUGAAUUUGGCAACACUUCAGCAGCAAGCUACUGUUUAUAACAAGAGAUCCCAGCAGCUAAAAGAAGCCAGUCAUUGGGAUUACUCAUAACUUGCCUUGUGAAGUGCUCAAGGGAAUUUCUUUAAGAACUGUGUCAAAAUCAGCUUUAGGAAUCAUUAAUUUGAGAGCUUUCAUUGAUACAUAAGAAGUGUUCCGAUAUUAUUGUUGGUCAAGUUGGUGGGCUUGGAAGGAAGAUUCUUUUGUUUGGUAUUGAGAGAAAUUUUUCUCAUUUUGUGCACGGAAGCAAGAGGAUAAAAACAGGCUUUUUUCCUCUCUGCAAGAAGAAAUCUGACGCAGUGGGAACCCAGUCACCCAGACACCAUGAAUGCUUGCAGAAGGAUACAUUCUCUCCGUGCUCACAGACAGAAAACUAAUGGAAACAAAAUUGAGAACUGGCAUAGCACCUCUGGGUUCAAGCACCAGCACGGAGAUGAUCUUGUUAUAGUCCACACCCUUUACACAGUGAUCAUCAUGAUCCUUCUAGUGGCACUCUGGGGAGCCUGGUCAAGAAAGGACUCAUCCUCAUAGCACCAAUAUAACAACUUCGUUUGUGAAAUAUUUAAAGAAGUAUUUGUGUCAAUUAUCCAUACUCAAGAGGCUCAAAAAAAUGGUCUCAGCAUAUUUCAGUUUACUUUAAACUGUUUAAAUGGUUGCUACUUGUGGAAAUGACUCUAUGAAGCAAUUUAACAAGCCAUUUACAGAACAUAAUUUUGUGAAUAACAGAGACUUGUUUGACCUGUACACAUUUUUAUUACUCUCAGCAUGUAUAUGAAACUUUAAGCAUGAUAUUCUAAAAAGAAGAGUUCAAUUUGUGUUUUAUUGGUCAAUGUUUUGUAUGUCCACCCCAGCUUUCCAUUUGUGAACUUGUCAAGUCUACCUCUGCUAAGUUUGCCUGUCCCAGUCCAUGGUAAAACAUAUACUAUAAGGAGGGAAAUAACCUGCCAUGUCACAACAACAUAGGAAAAAAUAAUGAACAAACCCAGCUAUUCUGCUGGCAAAGGAAGAUCACUGAAAAAGUCAAAUUCUCAUCUCCAUUGCUGAAGAGAGUUUAUAUGGGACUUGCAUCCGUUAUUUUUAAAUUAUGGUAAUGACUUCUUAAACUCAGGAAUAAAAUGAUGAAAUAA